GGAGGGGGUUAGCGUUGUUCGGAAUUACUGGGGCGUAAAGCGCACGUAGGCGGACUGGAAAGUUGGGGGGUGAAAUCCCAGGGGCUCAACCCUGGGAACUGCCUCCAAAACUAUCAGUCUAGAGUUCGAGAGAGGUGAGUGGAAUUCCGAGUGUAGAGGUGAAAUUCGUAGAUAUUCGGAGGAACACCAGUGGCGAAGGCGGCUCACUGGCUCGAUACUGACGCUGAGGUGCGAAAGUGUGGGGAGCAAACAGGAUUAGAUACCCUGGUAGUCCACACCGUAAACGAUGAAUGCCAGUCGUCGGGCAGCAUGCUAUUCGGUGACACACCUAACGGAUUAAGCAUUCCGCCUGGGGAGUACGGUCGCAAAGAUUA
rnacentral:rRNA from 1 species